UCCGAGUUGACCCCGGCAGUCUCCCAUGAGUCCCCAACCUUCCCGAAAGAAGUCGCUGGCAACAUGGAACGAGGGUUGCGCUCGUUGCGGGACUUAACCCAACAUCUCACGACACGGGCUGACGACAGCCAUGCAGCAUCUGUGCAGGUGCCCCGAAGGGAGACCGUGUUUCCACGGCUGUCACCUGCAUGUCAAGCCUAGGUAAGGUUCUUCGCGUUGCUUCGAAUUAAACCACAUGCUCCGCUGCUUGUGCGGGCCCCCGUCAAUUCCUUUGAGUUUUAGCCUUGCGGCCGUACUCCCCAGGCGGGGAACUUAAUGCGUUAGCUUCGGCACGGACGGAGUCGACACCGCCCACACCUAGUUCCCAUCGUUUACGGCGUGGACUAC
rnacentral:misc_RNA from 1 species